AUUGAACGCUGGCGGCAUGCCUUACACAUGCAAGUCGAACGGUAACGGGCCUUCGGGUGCCGACGAGUGGCGAACGGGUGAGUAAUGUAUCGGAACGUACCUUUCAGUGGGGGAUAACGUAGCGAAAGUUACGCUAAUACCGCAUAUUCUGUGAGCAGGAAAGCAGGGGAUCGCAAGACCUUGCGCUGAUUGAGCGGCCGAUAUCAGAUUAGCUAGUUGGUGAGGUAAAGGCUCACCAAGGCGACGAUCUGUAGCGGGUCUGAGAGGAUGAUCCGCCACACUGGAACUGAGACACGGUCCAGACUCCUACGGGAGGCAGCAGUGGGGAAUUUUGGACAAAUGGGGGGCAACCCUGAUCCAGCCAUGCCGCGUGAGUGAAGAAGGCCUUC
rnacentral:rRNA from 1 species